UUCCUGGUUGAUCCUGCCAGUAGUCAAAUGCUUGCCUGAAAGAUUAAGCCGUGCGUGCUAAGUACAUGCCGAAACAAGGCGAAACCACAAAUUUUGGUGAUUGUUUCGACCGGAGGCUUUCACGUUGCGGAAACAUUGUUAUGUCUUCGAUGAAGUGCUAUUAUUCAAGGAAUGUGCAGGAUUGUCGGGCAUCGGACUAGAGGGAGAAUGUCGAACAAG
rnacentral:ncRNA from 1 species